UCCCUCUCAGGGUCGCACCUGGAGAGUUUCCAGUGCUUUAUCAGUCUCGGUUAUGGGAGGAAGAGUCAAGCAGAGGCCUACCCAUUCCAUUCUUAGCUUGGGCAGUGGCUAGUGAGUGGAGGCAAUCUGCUCCAAGU